UACGAAGGGGGCUAGCGUUGCUCGGAAUUACUGGGCGUAAAGGGCGCGUAGGCGGAUGUCUAAGUUGGGGGUGAAAUCCCGGGGCUCAACCUCGGAACCGCCUUCAAUACUGGAUAUCUUGAGUUCGGGAGAGGUGAGUGGAAUGCCGAGUGUAGAGGUGAAAUUCGUAGAUAUUCGGCGGAACACCAGUGGCGAAGGCGACUCACUGGCCCGAUACUGACGCUGAGGCGCGAAAGCGUGGGGAGCAAACAGGGAUUAAGAAACCCUGGUACGU
rnacentral:rRNA from 1 species